GAAUGUUCUAGAAAGAAUUUUCAUCACAGAACUUUCUGCCUUAAAUGCAUUUGUUGAAGGUUUAAAGUUCUUUAUCAUCAGGUAAGGGAUAUUGCAUCCCCUCACCCCGCUGGUGUAGUGUCAUGCGCGGCGCCCGAAGCUAGUUCUAGUGUCGAGUCGCGGCUCUGGUCCAGUGCGCCGCCCGCCGUCUGCCGCGCAUGACGGACUGCUGCUCACAGCCGCCGCCGGCCCCGAGGGCUCUGCAGCCCUACUGGACCGCAUCCCCUUGGGUUCAAAUCUCAGACCUUUGGCGUCCGAGUGACGUCACAUGCCCGCUGUCUCCGAGCGCUGCAGCCUGUCAGGGCUGUGGCGCCGGCCGUCCUAACAUCUGUGACGGAGAUUCCCGGACGAGACCCACCUCCUCGUCACCGAUGGCGGCUGACGCAGCAGUCAGUUCCAGCUGACCAUCCAAGCUGACCUCCUUAAGAGUGGAUGUCAAUGUACAGCCGACUCCCGAGUGUGUCGGUUUGACGAUGACAUCCAGUUUUACCACGGCAAUGAGCUGAUGAGGGCAGGCGCGAAUCCAACGGAGGGGGUCAGGGGAUGAGGACCAAUUCUAUAACUAUUGGUCUGUCCAAUCCUUGUCCUUUGACCUCCUCGGUUCAGUUUGGAUCCGUGCCUGGUCGAUCAGUACUUGUGUCUGUAAUAGCAUCGUUUUAAUGAUGUGUUUACAGAGCACCUUGUAAAUAGUUAGGUUAAUGUUAGGCUAAGUUAGGAUAAGAAUCUUAUGACUAACAAAUACACACAGUAACUUAAGUCUAAGCAUUAUUAUAUUCAACAUUGCGCAUCGCAAAUGAGUGUAAUAAUACGUGUAAAUAGGAAAACU